rnacentral:rRNA from 1 species
AGAGUUUGAUCCUGGCUCAGGAUGAACGCUGGCGGCGUGCUUAACACAUGCAAGUCGAACGAACCUUCGGGUUAGUGGCGGACGGGUGAGUAACGCGUGAGAAUCUGCCCUCAGGAGGGGGAUAACGGUUGGAAACGACCGCUAAUACCCCAUAUGCCUACUGGUGAAAUGAAUUUCGCCUGAGGAUGAGCUCGCGUCUGAUUAGCUAGUUGGUGAGGUAAUGGCUCACCAAGGCUUCGAUCAGUAGCUGGUCUGAGAGGAUGAUCAGCCACACUGGGACUGAGACACGGCCCAGACUCCUACGGGAGGCAGCAGUGGGGAAUUUUCCGCAAUGGGCGAAAGCCUGACGGAGCAACGCCGCGUGAGGGACGAAGGCCUCUGGGCUGUAAACCUCUUUUCUCAAGGAAGAAGAUAUGACGGUACUUGAGGAAUAAGCCACGGCUAAUUCCGUGCCAGCAGCCGCGGUAAUACGGGAGUGGCAAGCGUUAUCCGGAAUUAUUGGGCGUAAAGCGUCCGCAGGCGGCUUUUCAAGUCUGCUGUUAAAGCGUGGAGCUUAACUCCAUCAUGGCAGUGGAAACUGAAAGGCUUGAGUAUGGUAGGGGCAGAGGGAAUUCCCGGUGUAGCGGUGAAAUGCGUAGAUAUCGGGAAGAACACCAGUGGCGAAGGCGCUCUGCUGGGCCAUUACUGACGCUCAUGGACGAAAGCCAGGGGAGCGAAAGGGAUUAGAUACCCCUGUAGUCCUGGCCGUAAACGAUGAACACUAGGUGUCGGGGGAAUCGACCCCCUCGGUGUCGUAGCCAACGCGUUAAGUGUUCCGCCUGGGGAGUACGCACGCAAGUGUGAAACUCAAAGGAAUUGACGGGGGCCCGCACAAGCGGUGGAGUAUGUGGUUUAAUUCGAUGCAACGCGAAGAACCUUACCAGGGUUUGACAUCCUGCGAACCUCUUAGAAAUUUGAGGGUGCCUUCGGGAAUGCAGUGACAGGUGGUGCAUGGCUGUCGUCAGCUCGUGUCGUGAGAUGUUGGGUUAAGUCCCGCAACGAGCGCAACCCACGUUUUUAGUUGCCAGCAUUUAGUUGGGCACUCUAGAAAGACCGCCGGUGAUAAACCGGAGGAAGGUGUGGAUGACGUCAAGUCAUCAUGCCCCUUACACCCUGGGCUACACACGUACUACAAUGCUACGGACAAAGGGCAGCAAACUCGCGAGAGCUAGCAAAUCCCAUAAACCGUGGCUCAGUUCAGAUCGUAGGCUGCAACUCGCCUACGUGAAGUAGGAAUCGCUAGUAAUCGCAGGUCAGCAUACUGCGGUGAAUACGUUCCCGGGCCUUGUACACACCGCCCGUCACACCAUGGAAGUUGGCCACGCCCGAAGCCGUUACUCCAACCCUUGUGGAGGAGGACGUCGAAGGUGGGGCUGAUGACUGGGGUGAAGUCGUAACAAGGUAUCCGUACCGGAAGGUGCGGAUG